rnacentral:rRNA from 1 species
AGUGAACGCUGGCGGUAGGCCUAACACAUGCAAGUCGAACGGCAGCACAGGAGAGCUUGCUCUCUAGGUGGCGAGUGGCGGACGGGUGAGGAAUACAUCGGAAUCUGCCCAGUCGUGGGGGAUAACGUAGGGAAACUUACGCUAAUACCGCAUACGACCUUCGGGUGAAAGAGGGGGAUCGCAAGACCUCUCGCGAUUGGAUGAGCCGAUGUCGGAUCAGCUAGUUAGCGGGGUAAUGGCCCACCAAGGCGACGAUCCGUAGCUGGUCUGAGAGGAUGAUCAGCCACACUGGAACUGAGACACGGUCCAGACUCCUACGGGAGGCAGCAGUGGGGAAUAUUGGACAAUGGGCGCAAGCCUGAUCCAGCCAUACCGCGUGGGUGAAGAAGGCCUUCGGGUUGUAAAGCCCUUUUGUUGGGAAAGAAAUCUUUCAGGCUAAUACCCUGGGAGGAUGACGGUACCCAAAGAAUAAGCACCGGCUAACUUUGUG